AUAAUUUCAUCUUUUUGAACUCGUAUAAUUCCGGGAAUAUGGCCGGAAGUUUCUACCCAAGGACCGUAAAUCUUUGGACUACGAGAAUGAAGACCGGACGG
rfam:Paenibacillus popilliae ATCC 14706 DNA, contig: contig343.